AGCAUAAUCAUUAGUUUAUUAAUUGUAGACUUGUAUGAAUGGUUGGACGAAAUAUAAACUGUCUCAUAUCUAAAUUUUAAAAUUUAAAUUUUGAGUUAAAAUGCUUAAAUUUUAUUAUGGGACGAGAAGACCCUAUAGAUCUUUAUUUUUAAUAUUUUAAUAUUUUUUGGAUUAGUUUUUUAUUAUAUUAUUAUUUAUUUUGUUGGGGUGACAUAGGUAUUUAAAUAACUACUUAUUUUUUUAUUCAAUUAUUUUUGUAUAUUUGACCUUUUAAUAUUGUUUUUAGACUUAGAUACCUUAGGGAUAACAGCGUAAUUCCUUUUGAGAGUUCAUAUCGACAAAGGAGAUUGCGACCUCGAUGUUGGAUUAAGAUUAUAUUUAGGUGUAGGUGCUUAAUUAUUAAGUCUGUUCGACUUUUAAAUUCUUACA
rnacentral:rRNA from 1 species